UACGUAGGGUGCGAGCGUUGUCCGGAAUUAUUGGGCGUAAAGAGCUCGUAGGCGGUUUGUCGCGUCUGCUGUGAAAACUCGGGGCUUAACUCCGGGCCUGCAGUGGGUACGGGCAGACUAGAGUGCGGUAGGGGAGACUGGAAUUCCUGGUGUAGCGGUGAAAUGCGCAGAUAUCAGGAGGAACACCGGUGGCGAAGGCGGGUCUCUGGGACGUAACUGACGCUGAGGAGCGAAAGCGUGGGGAGCGAACAGG
rnacentral:rRNA from 1 species